CGUUAUUAGAUUGAAUAAUAUGGACAAAAAACAGUUAUUUUUCAAAAGAAUUUUUUCAAAUAUUUAAAUAGUGUAGUAAUCGAGUUUAGAAACUAGAUAUGUAAAUCCCCUGUCAAUUUUUUUAAAGGCGGAAAUUUUCUCUUUUUCGUAAGCAGUAUCGUAUGUGAUAUAGGUAUAUCUUACAGUUUAAUAAAUAUACCUUGACCAUAUCGUCCCCUUAAUACAACAACCAGGUAACUCGAAAUUUCACGAUUUUGAGCUAUCUACUUUUUCCUUUAUAACCUUUUACGCCUUUUUUAAUGCUACAACUAGGUAACUUCAACUCCAAUCCAAUUUACGGGAAUCCAGUGACAAAAACUAGUUAUGUUCACAGUUAAAAAAAAAACCUGCUGCUUAAAGUAGCUACCUUGAAUUAUCUAAUUGUGCACCUGCGAUUACAAAAAUUUGUAGGGCAACAAGUGUUUAAUUUAAGUUACCUAGUUGUGCGCCCGGCUAACUUGACUUAUUCGCUACCCCUUACAGAUAUUUUUCGAGAUACCUAUAGUAUGUUUGCAGUAAAUGUCGAGUGUGACAUUAUUAAGUAUGUUCCUCCAGUUUUUGUAAUAUUUUUUGUGAAAAAAAGCAAAAAUGUCUACAACAGCCAAAUACAUGUUAACUUUAGGACGUAGCCAGUUGACGGAGAAUAAAGUUUCAGAUAUAGAGACGGUCAAUGAUGAUGAUGACAUGUCGUCACCUAAUAAUGAAAUAAAUACUCGCAUAAAAUAUACGACAGAAGGAAAGAAUAAAGCGGAACAACCUACAAGUAAUUGUUAUUUAAGUUUAUUUUAUAAAAUAUUUUUGUAUUAUUAUUGGGCAUGAGCCUUGUAAAUACGUAGACUGAUAAAUACCUUUUAUUUUUUAGAAA